rnacentral:rRNA from 1 species
UAGGGAAUCUUCGGCAAUGGGGGCAACCCUGACCGAGCAACGCCGCGUGAGUGAAGAAGAUUUUCGGAUCGUAAAGCUCUGUUGUAAGAGAAGAACGUGUGUGAGAGUGGAAAGUUCACACAGUGACGGUAACUUACCAGAAAGGGACGGCUAACUACGUACCAG